rfam:Glossina morsitans morsitans, isolate Yale, WGS project CCAG01000000 data, contig: ctg10012609
AUCGCUUCUCGGCCGUAUGGCUAAGAUGAAAGUGUAGUAUCUGUUCCUAUCGGCUUAACAUCUGAUAGAUUCCCCACCGGAGGACAACAAAUGUUAAACUGGUUUUUGGAAACAAGCGGAAUGCUUAGGGACUUGAUCGCUUCUGAAGCGGGUUGGCCCGGUAUUGCAGUACCGCCGGGAUUUCUGCUCCAUGAUA